CUCAAAGUACUUCCACACCGAAGAUCCACCUUUGGGUUCCCCGUUUUGACCUGAAGCAUCCCAAGCUCUGCCUCGUGGUCAUGCUGCCUUCUCUCAGAUGGCUAGCAUGCUCCGAUGCCUCCCUCUAACAGCAGUAACCAUGACGUUUAGAGUUCUCCUUGAAGAUCUGCUUGGCAAUCUCCUCAUCUCCAAGAUGUCAUAUGAAGACGACACACUCAGCUUCCAGGGACUGGUGUUUGAUAUCCUGGUCAUCCUUCCAAACCAACUGAAGAGAAAGAGUGACGUAAGUGCAAACAUGCCCUUCACCCUCUCCCACAGGGCUUC
rnacentral:lncRNA from 1 species